rfam:Gossypium hirsutum cultivar TM-1 unplaced genomic scaffold scaffold2318.1, whole genome shotgun sequence
UGUUAAAAGUUUCUUCUAUUUUUAGUGUUAAAAAUUGGCAUAGUUGAUAGAAUUUACACUCGGCUAGUCACAUAUACCUAAUUUUGACGUAUGAUAUCAAUUUUUAACAGUAAAAAUAGAUAAAAUUUUUUGAGCU